rnacentral:rRNA from 1 species
GACGAACGCUGGCGGCGUGCUUAACACAUGCAAGUCGAACGGAAAGGCCCUGCUUUUGUGGGGUGCUCGAGUGGCGAACGGGUGAGUAACACGUGAGUAACCUGCCCUUGACUUUGGGAUAACUUCAGGAAACUGGGGCUAAUACCGGAUAGGAGCUCCUGCUGCAUGGUGGGGGUUGGAAAGUUUCGGCGGUUGGGGAUGGACUCGCGGCUUAUCAGCUUGUUGGUGGGGUAGUGGCUUACCAAGGCUUUGACGGGUAGCCGGCCUGAGAGGGUGACCGGCCAAGUGGGGACUGGGAUACGGCGCGCGCCCCUACGGGGGGCCGCGGUGGGGAAUGUUGAAAAAGGGGCGAAGUCCUGACGCGCAAACCCGGCGGGGGGGGGGAGGGCGUUGGGGUGGUAAACCGCUUCCCCGGGUAACGAGGCGGGAGUGGCGGAAUUGGUUAAAGGAGCCCCGCCUAACUACGU